CACGUAGAUAAUUUGUUAUUAGCGUACGUUCGGUCGUUAAAAAAAUUUACCGAACCGUUCUACAGGCACACCCAUUCUAUAGUUUAUGUUAUUGUAUUCAAAUGUCCAGAGACAUUUGCCACUAUAACACAUACGUCGUACUAUACACAUUUCGGGCACACUGAAAGUUUUAAAAAUUCCAAAAUACCACCGUUUACGCGCACGUAUUAUUAUUGUUUUGUACCCGAAAUCCCGUAAUCGUUUGGGUAAUAAUUGAGACGCGGAACGGGCAAAGUUUUCGGGACGGGAGCUAUAUCGUUCAAGACAAAGAGAACAAUAAUUAUUAUUAUUGUCGAUAUCGCCGUUGACGCUAC